GAGGGUAUAGCUCAGUGGUAGAGUGUGUGCUUAGCAUGCACAAGGUCCUGGGUUCAAUCCCCAGUACCUCUA
rnacentral:tRNA from 1 species